rnacentral:rRNA from 1 species
UACGAAGGGAGCUAGCGUUGUUCGGAAUCACUGGGCGUAAAGCGCACGUAGGCGGAUGUGUCAGUCAGGGGUGAAAUCCCGGAGCUCAACUUCGGAACUGCCUCUGAUACAGCACGUCUUGAGUCCGAUAGAGGUGGGUGGAAUUCCUAGUGUAGAGGUGAAAUUCGUAGAUAUUCGCAAGAACACCAGUGGCGAAGGCGGCUCACUGGCCCGGAACUGACGCUGAGGUGCGAAAGCGUGGGGAGCAAACAGG